rnacentral:rRNA from 1 species
GAUUAACGCUGGCGGCGUGCCUAACACAUGCAAGUCGAACGAGGGGGCAACCCCUAGUGGCAGACGGGUGAGUAACACGUGGUCAACCUACCGCUUUGUGGGGGAUAACCAGCCGAAAGGUUGGCUAAUACCGCAUACGUCGCGAUCGGCAUCGAUCGUUGAUAAAAGGAGCAAUCCGCAAGGUGACGGGACCGCGUCCCAUUAGCUAGUUGGUGAGGUAAUGGCCCACCAAGGCUCCGAUGGGUAGCUGGUUUGAGAGAGCGACCAGCC